rnacentral:rRNA from 1 species
UACAGAGGGUGCAAGCGUUAAUCGGAAUUACUGGGCGUAAAGCGUGCGUAGGUGGAUAUCUAAGUCGAAUGUGAAAGCCCCGGGCUUAACCUGGGAACUGCAUCCGAUACUGGAUAUCUAGAGUAUGGUAGAGGAAAGUGGAAUUCCCGGUGUAGCGGUGAAAUGCGUAGAUAUCGGGAGGAACAUCAAUGGCGAAGGCAACUUUCUGGACCAAUACUGACACUGAGGCACGAAAGCGUGGGGAGCAAACAGG